rnacentral:rRNA from 1 species
UACGGAGGGUGCAAGCGUUAUCCGGAUUCACUGGGUUUAAAGGGUGCGUAGGUGGACUGGUAAGUCCGUGGUGAAAUCCCCAAGCUUAACUUGGGAACUGCCGUGGAUACUAUCAGUCUUGAAUACUGUGGAGGUAAGCGGAAUAUGUCAUGUAGCGGUGAAAUGCUUAGAUAUGACAUAGAACACCAAUUGCGAAGGCAGCUGGCUACGCAUAUAUUGACACUGAGGCACGAAAGCGUGGGGAUCAAACAGG